rnacentral:rRNA from 1 species
UACGGAGGGUGCGAGCGUUAAUCGGAAUUACUGGGCGUAAAGCGUGCGUAGACGGUUAUUUAAGUCGGGUGUGAAAGCCCCGGGCUCAACCUGGGAAUUGCAUUCGAGACUGAAUAGCUAGGGUACGGUAGAGGGAAGUGGAAUUUCCGGUGUAGCGGUGAAAUGCGUAGAUAUCGGAAGGAACAUCAGUGGCGAAAGCGACUUCCUGGACCAGUACCGACGUUCAGGCACGAAAGCGUGGGGAGCAAACGGG